rnacentral:rRNA from 1 species
UACGUAGGGGGCAAGCGUUGUCCGGAUUUAUUGGGCGUAAAGAGCGUGUAGGCGGCCAGGUAGGUCUGCUGUGAAAACUCGAGGCUCAACCUCGAGAUGUCGGCGGAAACCAUCUGGCUAGAGUCCGGAAGAGGAAAGUGGAAUUCUCGGUGUAGCGGUGAAAUGCGUAGAUAUCGAGAGGAACACCUGCGGCGAAGGCGGGUAGCUGGGCCGACACUGACGCUGAUGCGCGAAAGCCAGGGGAGCGAACGGG